UUUAGCUUUAUAUGAAACUUUUUCCUUAUGUUUUUAUGUCUAAUAAAUUGCUUUAUGGAUCUUUUUGUGUGCUUGAAACUCGGAUAUGCUUUUGCUAUGUGUCAAAAAGCAGAGAAGUUCUCAUUUAAUCAUUUUAUAGACUAUAUAUAUAUUGAAGAUUUUUUUUUUACUUAGAAGAAUCACCACUAAACUUCGCUUCUCUAUAAUAAUUAGUCUUUUUUUAAAAUUUCAUUUUAGGGGAAGUUUUGACAUCUUAGGUGCUUUAGAACUUGCACCUGGGAUACUUCACGCUCAUCCUCCUAGCAAAGUUAGUGGUAAAGUGUAUGAGUUCUCUAUGCUAUUGCCCGAUACUCUUAAACUGGAACUAGUUCCACGUGGAGAUAUCUGGCCAAGUUUAUUCGAUAAUCAUUGCCCGAGUAAAGAAGACAUUGGACUGUAUUUCUUUGAAAGUGAGAAAAAGAGGUUUGAGGGAUAUAUCUCUUUGGUGGAAUUCAUGUGCAACAAGGAUUUUUGAUGAUGAGAACUCUUAUCAAUGAUGUUGAGUUGAUUAUAAUUGCAUCCACAACCUUGUGCAACGAUUCUCAAAGAUGGAACAAUCGACACUUUCUUUGGGGAUUAUUUUACCACAAAAGACAGGAUACAAAUAAAUGUGUUGAAGGGCGAAGCCGUGAUAUUCGAAGAAAAUGAAGAAAUGUUGAACAAUGUUUUCUCGACAACCACCAGAUUCGUAUAAGAUGGCAAAAUACAAUAAUAAGGGAAUUUGUGGCCGUUUCAAUAUUCGAGUUGUUCAUUAUCAUAGUUAACCAUAUAAAAUCAUUACAAAUCUUGAUAAAUCUAUUCCCCUUUUUGGUUUUACAAUGAAUUGAUGUUGAUAUU